GUUAAUAAAAAUCGGGUGCGUUGCAAUUUUUGUGACGUUUCCGGAGUUUGAGUUAUCUUAAUUAACUUCGGUUUUAAGAGGCUUAAAAUUGACCUUUUUGUGCAUUUUAGACGUACAUAAAUUUUUUUUUAUUCGUCCAUUCUAAUGCCAAAAUCUAUUAGAUGCGACCAUAUCUUGUGGUUCCGUGUCUAUAAAAUUUUCAUG
rnacentral:misc_RNA from 1 species